CAGGCUUUUCCUCUUCUCUUCCGGUUACUCUUACUCACUCUCGCCCGCUACAUGUGUUCAGAAAGGAGGGCCUGGGGCCACGGGGUGCUUGUGACAAGAGCUAACAAGAGCAGAGGACCGAGAGCCGACACCUGUCUGAAGCGCUUCCCGGUUACUCACUCAUCACCAACUCGCUCACAUCCGCGGCGACGAGGGCCUUCUGCGUGCUCUCGGCAAGGCCACGGCCAUCGUGGAUCGGACCGACAGUCUGCGUCUUCUGGACCAACACCCAAAGCACUAAAUACUGCUGGAGGAGAGUCACCUGAGCACUGGUUGUCCCCGUGAACGGAUGUGCUCGGCCCUCGAGACAACCCGGAUGCUGCCGGAGGAGCAGAGCCUCCCGGGAGCUCCCGGCUCUCCUUCCCUUUCUGCUGGCUCUGUCCGAUCAGCGUAGAAUGUGCCGUCUCUGCCUCCCUAAAGGCAAUAUGAAGCAAAGGUACUGCGGAAACCACAUAGUCAGACCUCUGAGAGCGGUCUACACGCGCUGCCUCGACUCCCCUGCCACCUCAUGCCCGAGCCCAGGGCAGUCCAGCCUUUGUCUCAGCUCUACUCCUGGAAUCAACCAUGACAGAUGGCACCCUGCACUGAAUCCAAGGUCACCUGUGACCCCGUGCCUGACCGCGGGGCCCGGCCCG